ACUCAAAUGAAUAGACGGGGGCCCGCACAAGCAGUGGAGUAUGUGGUUUAAUUCGAAGCAACGCGAAGAACCUUACCAGGGCUUGACAUCCCUUGACGACUGUAGAGAUACAGUUUCCCUUCGGGGCAAGGAGACAGGUGGUGCAUGGUUGUCGUCAGCUCGUGUCGUGAGAUGUUGGGUUAAGUCCCGCAACGAGCGCAACCCCUGUUGCUAGUUGCCAUCAUUAAGUUGGGCACUCUAGCGAGACUGCCGGUGACAAAUCGGAGGAAGGUGGGGACGACGUCAAAUCAUCAUGCCCCUUAUGUCCUGGGCUACACACGUACUACAAUGGCUAUUACAAUGGGAAGCUAAGCCGCAAGGUGGAGCAAAUCCCCAAAAAUAGCCCCAGUUCAGAUUGUGGGCUGCAACUCGCCCACAUGAAGUCGGAAUUGCUAGUAAUUGCAGGUCAGCAUACUGCAGUGAAUACGUUCCCGGGCCUUGUACACACCGCCCGU
rnacentral:rRNA from 1 species